GUGCCAGCAGCCGCGGUAAUACGUAGGUGGCAAGCGUUGUCCGGAUUUAUUGGGCGUAAAGCGAGCGCAGGCGGUUUUUUAGGUCUGAUGUGAAAGCCUUCGGCUUAACCGGAGAAGUGCAUCGGAAACCGGGAGACUUGAGUGCAGAAGAGGACAGUGGAACUCCAUGUGUAGCGGUGAAAUGCGUAGAUAUAUGGAAGAACACCAGUGGCGAAGGCGGCUGUCUGGUCUGCAACUGACGCUGGGGCUCGAAAGCAUGGGUAGCGAACAGGAUUAGAUACCCUGGUAGUCCAUGCCGUAAACGAUGAGUGCUAAGUGUUGGAGGGUUUCCGCCCUUCAGUGCUGCAGCUAACGCAUUAAGCACUCCGCCUGGGGAGUACGACCGCAAGGUUGAAACUCAAAGGAAUUGACGGGGGCCCGCACAAGCGGUGGAGCAUGUGGUUUAAUUCGAUGCUACGCGAAGAACCUUACCAGGUCUUGACAUCUUCUGCUAACCUAAGAGAUUAGGCGUUCCCUUCGGGGACGGAAUGACAGGUGGUGCAUGGUUGUCGUCAGCUCGUGUCGUGAGAUGUUGGGUUAAGUCCCGCAACGAGCGCAACCCUUAUUGUCAGUUGCCAGCAUUCAGUUGGGCACUCUGGCGAGACUGCCGGUGACAAACCGGAGGAAGGUGGGGAUGACGUCAAAUCAUCAUGCCCCUUAUGACCUGGGCUACACACGUGCUACAAUGGACGGUACAACGAGUCGCGAAACCGCGAGGUCAAGCUAAUCUCUGAAAGCCGUUCUCAGUUCGGAUUGCAGGCUGCAACUCGCCUGCAUGAAGUUGGAAUCGCUAGUAAUCGUGGAUCAGCAUGCCACGGUGAAUACGUUCCCGGGCCUUGUACACACCGCCCGUCACACCAUGAGAGUUUGUAACACCCAAGGCCGGUGAGGUAACCUUCGGGGGCCAGCCGUCUAAGGUGGGACAGAUGAUUAGGGUG
rnacentral:rRNA from 1 species